GGGAUAGCUCAGUUGGUAGAGCAGGAGACCUGCUCUAAUCUCAGGAUGGUGGGUUUGAGCCCCACUUUGGGCA